rnacentral:lncRNA from 1 species
CACAAUGAAUAUUCUCAUGAAAUACUACAAGUGUGCAAAAUUUGAAAAAAAAUCGGAGGGAGUCUACCUGACUAUCCCCUGGUCAGUAUUUAGGACAAAAGAUCAAAGACAUUGUCAUAGAGCCUACGUUCUUCUAAAGUACGAGCAUCAAUGUCACGUAAAGCUUCCAUAACAUCUGCUCCAGUGCGAUGAGGAUGAACACAGUGUGCUUCGUGUUCUGGCCCUUCAUGGUUUGGACCUCGCCAUGGACAACCAAUCCUACUGUAUUUGCAACUUGAUAUCCUAAAAAAUAAAAAAAAAUAAAUGAUUAUUAUUUAA